AUGAUAAUUUCUUGAAUGAACAAGAAUAUAGGAGUUAAAACAAAAUACAAAUAGAGACCAAACUUGAAAAUUCCCUGAACAGCAGAACCAGCUAAGCCAUGCCGACCAGAAGUGAGUGAAAGAGGCUGCUUGCCGGGAGGUGAAUGAGAAUAGAAAUGAAAUGAGUCUGGCUUUCAAAUGCCAAACGGGUAGCCAAAAACUCCUGGAUUGAUUUGGAAUACCAGUAAUAUCAAUUGAUAGGAAAAAUUAUACUUUGUCAGCCCCAAGCUCUCAACUAAUUCUUUAAACAGGUAA